rfam:Dipodomys ordii contig_182, whole genome shotgun sequence.
GGUGGCUCAAUGGUAGAGCGCUUGCCUUGCUUGCAUGAGGCCCUGGGUUCCAUUCCUCAGCACCA